rnacentral:rRNA from 1 species
CCUAGGGGAGGCAGCAGUGAGGAAUAUUGGUCAAUGGGCGGGAGCCUGAACCAGCCAAGUCGCGUGAGGGACGACGGUCCUAUGGAUUGUAAACCUCUUUUGUCGGGGAACAAAUGCGCCCACGGGUGGGCGGAUGAGUGUACCCGAAGAAAAAGCAUCGGCUAACUCCGUGCCAGCAGCCGCGGUAAUACGGAGGAUGCGAGCGUUAUCCGGAUUUAUUGGGUUUAAAGGGUGCGUAGGCGGCAUGUAAAGUCAGGUGUUAAAGGCGCAGGCUCAACCUGUGUAUGGCACUUGAUACUUGCAAGCUGGAAUGUGGUAGAGGUAAAGGGAAUUCCUGGUGUAGCGGUGAAAUGCUUAGAUAUCAGGAGGAACAUCGGUGGCGUAAGCGCUUUACUGGGCCGUAAUUGACGCUGAGGAACGAAAGCCAGGGUAGCAAAUGGGAUUAGAUACCCCGGUAGUC